rnacentral:rRNA from 1 species
CUACGGGGCGCAGCAGUGAGGAAUUUUGCGCAAUGGGGGAAACCCUGACGCAGCAACGCCGCGUGAGUGAAGAAGGCCCUUGGGUCGUAAAGCUCUGUCAAUGGGGAAGAAGUUAUUAUGUGUUAAUAGCACAUUUUAUUGACGGUACCCAUGAAGGAAGCACCGGCUAACUCCGUGCCAGCAGCCGCGGUAAUACGGGGGGUGCAAGCGUUAUUCGGAAUUAUUGGGCGUAAAGGGCACGCAGGCGGUCCUGUCAGUCAGAUGUGAAAGCCCGGGGCUCAACCCCGGACGUGCAUUGAAACAGCAGGACUAGAGUACGGGAGAGGAAAGGGGAAUUCCUGGUGUAGAGGUGAAAUUCGUAGAUAUCAGGAGGAACACCGGUGGCGAAGGCGCCUUUCUGGACCGAUACUGACGCUGAGGUGCGAAGGCGUGGGUAGCGAACGGGAUUAGAUACCCUUGUAGUC